UCAAACAAAACCUCGAUAGGUGCCUAUAUCAAAUAUAUAGGAGAAUAGGGAAUAAUGUGCAAAUCAUUAGCGGUCCCGCCACUGUAACUUGGAGAUUCCUAGCAUAACCACUGCGAUUUAAGCGGGAAGGGUUAGGGUAUCUAUGAAAAGAAGCCAGGAGACCUGCCUAUCAGGAUACAUAAUG
rnacentral:ncRNA from 2 species